UACGGGGGGAGCAAACGUUGUUCGGAAUCACUGGGCGUAAAGGGCGUAUAGGCGGCUGGAUAAGUGGGAUGUUAAAUCCCCCGGCUCAACCGGGGACCUGCAUCUCAUACUGUUCAGCUCGAGCACAUCAGAGGAGACUGGAAUUCCCGGUGUAGCGGUGAAAUGCGUAGAUAUCUGGAGGAACACCGGUGGCGAAGGCGGCAUCCUGGACCGGUAUUGACGCUGAGGCGCGAAAGCCAGGGGAGCAAACGGG
rnacentral:rRNA from 1 species